rnacentral:lncRNA from 1 species
CAGUAAUUCAGAGCUUGGCAAAUUGGUCCUCCCUCUUCACCAGUCCAUGAACUUCGCAAAUACGUAACUUAUUCAGGCUGCACCAGCAGCACAUUAUUUUAGCUGGAAUUACCUCUGCAACGUGUCAAACCUGAGAGGUUUUUCUCUUUGAAAUCGGGCUGGUACCAGAUGAGCAAACUGUAUUAUUAUUUUCAUUAAGCUACCGCAUUCUGUCAACACACACCAUUGGCAAUUACACUGCAAAUAAUUGCACAGUUGACAAACUGUGCAGCAGAAUUUACACUAUCAUUGUUUGAGUGUGAUCACGAUGCUUCUUUUUGGGCUCGAUUUCCUGGGGGUGGAGGAAGGCCUACUUUUCUUCUUGUAGCCUUGUAUCUCCUAUCACCUUUUAUGCAGCCAGAGCAUCUCUGUAAGUGCCCCAGCAUCAUCAACUGAUGGCAGCACAGCUCUGGGAAUAAACAGACUUGAGCUAAUGGCAGGAAUCGACAGGGGAAACGUGAAACAGCAGCCAAAGCAAAGAGAUGGAAAAAGGGAUCCACAACCCAGUGAAUGCAGGUUCAGCGCCGCUUCUGUGCCACUCAUGCAUGCAGUUUCAUGGAAAGAUAUAGCAUCCGAUGUCUUUCUAGAAAGCAUAAGUAAGUACUAUAAAAGAUCUCAUAUUUUUAGUAUGGUUGUGAUGAUUCUGUGUUCACAUUCAGGAGUUUGGAUUAUGUCAACAGACCCACAAUGA